UGCACGAAUGACUAUAAGUCACUUUGGAUAAAAGCAUCUGCUAAAUGGCAUUUA
rfam:Salmo salar isolate Sally breed double haploid chromosome ssa14, whole genome shotgun sequence.